rnacentral:rRNA from 1 species
CGCUGGCGGCGUGCUUAACACAUGCAAGUCGAACGGUCUGAUCAGUCAGAAGCCUUCGGGUGAAAGACUGAGAAGAUAGUGGCGGACGGGUGAGUAACGCGUGGGUAAUCUACCUCUUAGACGGGGAUAACACCGGGAAACGGGUGCUAAUACCGGAUGAGUUCUUAACUUUGCAUAAAGGUAAGAAGAAAGGCGGCAAAAAAGCUGUCGUUAAGAGAUGAGCCCGCGUCCCAUUAGCUAGUUGGUAAGGUAAAAGCUUACCAAGGCGAUGAUGGGUAGCCGGCCUGAGAGGGUGAACGGCCACACUGGGACUGAGACACGGCCCAGACUUCUACGGGAGGCAGCAGUGGGGAAUAUUCGGCAAUGGGGGAAACCCUGACCGAGCAACGCCGCGUGAGUGAAGAAGUUUUUCGGAAUGUAAAGCUCUGUCAUGAGGGAAGAAAGCUAUGUUAUUAAAUAGAUGAUAUAGUUGACGGUACCUAAUAAGAAAGCUCCGGCUAACUACGUGCCAGCAGCCGCGGUAAUACGUAGGGAGCGAGCGUUGUCCGGAAUUAUUGGGCGUAAAGGGCGCGUAGGCGGCCAGACAAGUCAAAUGUGAAAUACAGCGGCUCAACCGCUGGGGUGCGU